GCCGGUGGUCUAGCGGUAGGACGAGGGCCUUCCAAGCCCUCAUCCCGGGUUCGAUUCCCGGUCGGC
rnacentral:tRNA from 1 species